rnacentral:snRNA from 1 species
ACAUAUAAAUGGCGCCGGGAUCAGGGUGAUCAAGAAUGCUCUGACCCCGGGUGGAGGCUCACCGCUGCACCUCGGUGGGUUGAAACUCGCGACGGAACCUGAUUGGGUGAGCUCGGGCGUGUAGUUUUUGCCAGUGGGGGGGGGCAUCACGGUCCUCCCUUU